rnacentral:rRNA from 1 species
AGAGUUUGAUCCUGGCUCAGGACGAACGCUGGCGGCGUGCCUAAUACAUGCAAGUCGAGCGAAUCUUUAGGAGCUUGCUCCUGAAGAUUAGCGGCGGACGGGUGAGUAACACGUGGGCAACCUGCCUGUAAGACUGGGAUAACUUCGGGAAACCGUAGCUAAUACCGGAUAGGUUUUCGGUUCGCAUGAACCGGAAUGGA